rnacentral:rRNA from 1 species
CCUACGGGUGGCAGCAGUAGGGAAUUUUCGUCAAUGGGCGCAAGCCUGAACGAGCAAUGCCGCGUGAACUAGGAAGGUCUUCGGAUCGUAAAGGUCUGUUGAAGGGGAAAAAGAGCGGAGAGAGGAAAUGGUCUCCGAUAGAUAUUACCCUUCGAGGAAGUCACGGCCAACUACGUGCCAGCAGCCGCGGUAAGACGUAGGUGGCGAGCGUUCUCCGGAAUGAUUGGGCGUAAAGGUAGCGUAGGCGGCCUGCUAAGUCUGGAGUGAAAGGUACCGGCUCAACCGGUACAGGCUCUGGAAACUGGCGGGCUAGAGGGCAGGAGAGGGCGGUGGAACUCCAUGUGUAGCGGUAAAAUGCGAAGAUAUAUGGAAGAACACCAGUGGCGAAGGCGGCCGCCUGGCCUGUUACUGACGCUGAGGCACGAAAGCGUGGGGAGCAAAUAGGAUUAGAUACCCCAGUAGUC